rnacentral:rRNA from 1 species
GUGGGCCUGCAGUCGACGAUUCCUACGGGAGGCAGCAGUAGGGAAUAUUGGACAAUGGACGAAAGUCUGAUCCAGCAAUGCCGCGUGAAUGAUGAAGGCCUUAGGGUUGUAAAGUUCUUUAAGUAGGGAAGAUAAUGACGGUACCUACAGAAUAAGCACCGGCUAACUCCGUGCCAGCAGCCGCGGUAAUACGGAGGGUGCAAGCGUUGUUCGGAAUUACUGGGCGUAAAGCGCGCGUAGGCGGCUUUGUAAGUUGGGAGUGAAAUCCCGGGGCUUAACUCCGGAAUUGCUUUCAAGACUAUAAAGCUAGAGUGUGGCAGGGGGCAGUGGAAUUCCUAGUGUAGAGGUGAAAUUCGUAGAUAUUAGGAGGAACACCAGUGGCGAAAGCGACUGCCUGGACCAUUACUGACGCUGAGGCGCGAAAGCGUGGGGAGCAAACAGGAUUAGAUACCCUGGUAGUCCACGCCGUAAACGAUGGGUGCUAGAUAUUGGGACUUUAGUUUCAGUGUCGUAGCUAACGCGUUAAGCACCCCGCCUGGGGAGUACGGUCGCAAGAUUAAAACUCAAAGGAAUUGACGG